rnacentral:rRNA from 1 species
GACGAACGCUGGCGGCGCGCCUAACACAUGCAAGUCGAACGGAGCUUAGAGAGCUUGCUUUUUAAGCUUAGUGGCGAACGGGUGAGUAACGCGUGAGUAACCUGCCCUAGAGUGGGGGACAACAGUUGGAAACGACUGCUAAUACCGCAUAAGCCCACGGUGCCGCAUGACACUGAGGGAAAAGGAUUUAUUCGCUUUAGGAUGGACUCGCGUCCAAUUAGCUAGUUGGUGAGGUAACGGCCCACCAAGGCGACGAUUGGUAGCCGGACCGAGAGGUUGAACGGCCACAUUGGGACUGAGACACGGCCCAGACUCCUACGGGAGGCAGCAGUGGGGGAUAUUGCACAAUGGGGGAAACCCUGAUGCAGCGACGCCGCGUGGAGGAAGAAGGUUUUCGGAUUGUAAACUCCUGUCGUUAGGGACGAUAAUGACGGUAC